UACGGGGGGGGCAAGCGUUGUUCGGAAUUACUGGGCGUAAAGGGCUCGUAGGCGGCCAACUAAGUCGGAUGUGAAAUCCCCAAGCUUAACUUGGGAACUGCAUCCGAUACUGGAUGGCUUGAAUCCGGGAGAGGGAUGCAGAAUUCCAGGUGUAGCGGUGAAAUGCGUAGAUAUCGGGAGGAACACCAGUGGCGAAGGCGACUACCUGGCCUGUUCUUGACGCUGAGGCGCGAAAGCUAGGGGAGCAAACGGG
rnacentral:rRNA from 1 species